AGUAUUGUAUUCCACCUCGCCCUUCUUCAGGGUUUGACUGAUAUCAUACCAAAGGAGACUCUUCUCUGGAAACUGAAGCUUCUUAGAUCUGCUUCAGCUUAUGCAAAUUCCCGUCUCCAUGCUAUUACUGCUGAAGUACUUGUGCUCUCAAGUGGCAAAGACAACAUGCUUCCAAGUGGAAAUGAAGCUCAAAGGCUUG